AGGACGAACGCUGGCGGCGUGCUUAACACAUGCAAGUCGAACGGUAAGGCCCCUUCGGGGGUACACGAGUGGCGAACGGGUGAGUAACACGUGAGCAACCUGCCCUUGACAUUGGAAUAACAGUUGGAAACAGCUGCUAAUACCGGGUAUGACCUUUCAUCGCAUGGUGGGGGGUGGAAAGCCUUGGCGGUCAAGGAUGGGCUCGCGGCCUAUCAGCUAGUUGGUGAGGUAAUGGCUCACCAAGGCUUCGACGGGUAGCCGGCCUGAGAGGGCGACCGGCCACACUGGGACUGAGAUACGGCCCAGACUCCUACGGGAGGCAGCAGUGGGGAAUAUUGCACAAUGGGCGGAAGCCUGAUGCAGCAACGCCGCGUGCGGGAUGACGGCCUUCGGGUUGUAACCGCUUUCAGUAGGGACGAAGCUAACGUGACGGUACCUACAGAAGAAGCACCGGCCAACUACGUGCCAGCAGCCGCGGUA
rnacentral:rRNA from 1 species